AGUGAACGCUGGCGGUAGGCCUAACACAUGCAGGUCGAACGGCAGCACAGUAAGAGCUUGCUCUUACGGGUGGCGAGUGGCGGACAGGUGAGGAAUACAUCGGAAUCUACUUUUUCGUGGGGGAUAACGUAGGGAAACUUACGCUAAUACCGCAUACGACCUACGGGUGAAAGCAGGGGAUCUUCGGACCUUGCGCGAUUGAAUGAGCCGAUGUCGGAUUAGCUAGUUGGCGGGGUAAAGGCCCACCAAGGCGACGAUCCGUAGCUGGUCUGAGAGGAUGAUCAGCCACACUGGAACUGAGACACGGUCCAGACUCCUACGGGAGGCAGCAGUGGGGAAUAUUGGACAAUGGGCGCAAGCCUGAUCCAGCCAUACCGCGUGGGUGAAGAAGGCCUUCGGGUUGUAAAGCCCUUUUGUUGGGAAAGAAAAGCAGCAGGUUAAUACCCCGCUGUUCUGACGGUACCCAAAGAAUAAGCACCGGCUAACUUCGUG
rnacentral:rRNA from 1 species